rnacentral:rRNA from 1 species
GGGACGAACGCUGGCGGCGUGCUUAACACAUGCAAGUCGAGCGGAAAGGCCUUUCGGGGUACUCGAGCGGCGAACGGGUGAGUAACACGUGAGUAAUCUGCCCAUCGCUUCAGGAUAGCCAUCGGAAACGGUGAUUAAUACUGGAUAUGACAUUCCUUCGCAUGUUGGGGUGUGGAAAGUUUUUUCGGCGGUGGAUGUGCUCGCGGCCUAUCAGCUUGUUGGUGGGGUAAUGGCCUACCAAGGCUUUGACGGGUAGCCGGCCUGAGAGGGUGACCCGGCCACA